rnacentral:rRNA from 1 species
UACGUAGGGGGCAAGCGUUGUCCGGAAUUAUUGGGCGUAAAGAGCUCGUAGGCGGUGUGUCGCGUCGGCCGUGAAAACCUGGGGCUUAACUCUGGGCGUGCGGUCGAUACGGGCAUCACUAGAGUUCGGCAGGGGAGACUGGAAUUCCUGGUGUAGCGGUGAAAUGCGCAGAUAUCAGGAGGAACACCGGUGGCGAAGGCGGGUCUCUGGGCCGAUACUGACGCUGAGGAGCGAAAGCAUGGGUAGCGAACAGG